rnacentral:rRNA from 1 species
GAUGAACGCUGGCGGCGUGCCUAAUACAUGCAAGUCGAGCGAACGGACGAGAAGCUUGCUUCUCUGAUGUUAGCGGCGGACGGGUGAGUAACACGUGGAUAACCUACCUAUAAGACUGGGAUAACUUCGGGAAACCAGAGCUAAUACCGGAUAAUAUUUUGAACCGCAUGGUUCAAAAGUGAAAGACGGUCUUGCUGUCACUUAUAGAUGGAUCCGCGCUGCAUUAGCUAGUUGGUAAGGUAACGGCUUACCAAGGCAACGAUGCAUAGCCGACCUGAGAGGGUGAUCGGCCACACUGGAACUGAGACACGGUCCAGACUCCUACGGGAGGCAGCAGUAGGGAAUCUUCCGCAAAGGGCGAAAGCCUGACGGAGCAACGCCGCGUGAGUGAUGAAGGUCUUCGGAUCGUAAAACUCUGUUAUUAGGGAAGAACAUAUGUGUAAGUAACUGUGCACAUCUUGACGGUACCUAAUCAGAAAGCCACGGCUAACUACGUG